GGCUGGAUAGCUCAGUUGGUAGAGCAAGGGACUGAAAAUCCCUGUGUCGUUGGUUCGAUUCCAUCUCCAGCCACCA
rnacentral:tRNA from 1 species